GGAACGCAGUAGUGGUUUGACGUUGGUCCCGGAGAUGUCGCGUGGUUGCCGGUGGCUGGACUGACCCGCAGGGUUGGUCCGGUGAGGAGAGUACGUCGUGAGGUUGGUGUGGUGUCGUGGCUCUCGAGACCUGAAGGCCCUCGUCCCGACCCUCGCUGUCUGUGGCGCGGACGCCGAGCCUUUCCGCGGACUGCGGUGGAGUGCGGGGGUCUGGGGACGCGGCGGCCGGGCGAUGGAGUCGGCUUUUCAGGAAGUCGUCAGCCCGCUCCGCACACGCGCUCUCUCCUCCGAGGAUGUCAGUGAUGUACACUAAUGUGAACAAAUCCAGUAAAAAGAGUGGCUUGAAAA